CCUACGGGAGGCUGCAGUCGAGAAUCAUUCACAAUGGGGGAAACCCUGAUGGUGCGACGCCGCGUGGGGGAAUGAAGGUCUUCGGAUUGUAAACCCCUGUCAUGUGGGAGCAAAUUAAAAAGAUAGUACCACAAGAGGAAGAGACGGCUAACUCUGUGCCAGCAGCCGCGGUAAUACAGAGGUCUCAAGCGUUGUUCGGAAUCACUGGGCGUAAAGCGUGCGUAGGCUGUUUCGUAAGUCGUGUGUGAAAGGCGCGGGCUCAACCCGCGGACGGCACAUGAUACUGCGAGACUAGAGUAAUGGAGGGGGAAUCGGAAUUCUCGGUGUAGCAGUGAAAUGCGUAGAUAUCGAGAGGAACACUCGUGGCGAAGGCGGGUUCCUGGACAUUAACUGACGCUGAGGCACGAAGGCCAGGGGAGCGAGAGGGAUUAGAUACCCCAGUAGUC
rnacentral:rRNA from 1 species